UACGUAGGGUGCAAGCGUUAAUCGGAAUUACUGGGCGUAAAGCGUGCGCAGGCGGUUAUGUAAGACAGAUGUGAAAUGCCCGGGCUUAACCUGGGAACUGCAUUUGUGACUGCAUGGCUAGAGUUUGGCAGAGGGGGGUAGAAUUCCACGUGUAGCAGUGAAAUGCGUAGAUAUGUGGAGGAAUACCGAUGGCGAAGGCAGCCCCCUGGGUCAAGACUGACGCUCAUGCACGAAAGCGUGGGGAGCAAACAGGAUUAGAAACCCCGGUAGUCC
rnacentral:rRNA from 1 species